ACAUCCCUGAGCCCGCAGCCCUGAGCCGAACUCCGAGUCCAGUGGUCCCGGUGUCCACAAUCACGAGUGCGAGGCAAAGGGAGAGGGAGGAAGAGAUCAGAGGGAGACCAGAGAAAGGGAACCAAAGGGGAGAAAGAAAAAAAAAAGUAGCAAGGAUUCGCCCGUUUUCUUAAGUCAGAAGAGAGAGAGAAGAGGACGGGAAGGGACUUACCUUUAGGCUCCAGCGCGGCGGCCCUCGCAGCCUCCCCAAACGCGCGCGGGAAUAGUCCGAAGACAUUAAGAGCGGAGGAAGGAGAUCCCUGAAGGAAUCCACAGAAAAGUGUGUCACUUCAGGCGCCGGAGCCUUGCAUAAGCGGGCGGGUCGGCUCUGGGCUCUGAUUUCUCGCCCGACGAACCCAGGCGCUCGGGCUCAGCCCGGCGGGAGGCGGAUCCCUGAGAGGGACACAGCCGGGUCCGCGUCCACCAGGCGCUCUCGGGGAGGACGAGGCCUGAGGCUCCAAGCUGGGGAACCAGCCUGGUCUCCAGCUGGAAAAAAUGCCUGGCCAGACGCUUUCUCCCGAACGGGGGAGCUAAUGCCCGAGGCGUUCUCUGGUGGCGAGGGCAGCCACGGUUCACUGCGGUGUCGGGCGGGCGCGGGGCUCAGGACCCAUAGCGGCUGGUCUGCAGCCCGCGCCCCUGCCGCGCCCCGCGGCAGUCCGUCCACCUCUGUCCCCCGGCCCCUUUCGGCGAGCGCUCAUUUGGAAAGGAAACAGUCACUGCGGAUCCACUUGGGACCCGGAGCAUGACUGUAACGCCUCGUUGGAGUGUAUCAACUUGCAUUAUUUUCUCUAGGACGUCUCCAACCUGUCUCAUGUUGAAUGUCAGAGUAAUGGGAAGUGCCAGUGACAAGACGGCGUAUUACUCCUGAUUAAGUGCCGUGUCAACCUAAUUAGCAGAGUAAUUAUAAGGUGCUAAUGAAUGAUUCAAAGUUCUUUGAGUUACAUUUUACUCCAAAUUACCAUUUUAAGAACCCUAUGAAUCUGCGAGGCGGGCAUCGCUUCCGUGGCUAGGUCUGGAAUGAUGUUCGAGUGGCCUUUAAUGUCUCCAAAGGCUGGGCCGAAAUCUGGAGUUUAGUUGCAGUUCUGGAGGUCACUUUCUGGGCCACAGCUUUUAUCUGUUGAGGACGAAGGGAGGGGUGUCAGGGAGGCAAAUGACCUCCUGGGACAAGCUCUUGCCUUUCGGUCGGAACUGCUUCUGUGUGAGCCCUGGGUCCGGAAGCGGGUAGCUGGGCGACUCAUCCUGCCUGCGUUUUCCUAGGGAAAUCGGUGUGUUUGACCCAGAAAAAAAAAAAAAAAAAAAAAAAAAAACAGCACUACUUGGAGGGUGGGUUGAGCUGUUUCUCAUCGUCUCAGUGGCAUUUUUCCUAGGGCUGUUCCGAGAGAACAGCGGGGAUUGAAGGGACGGAGGCAAGGAGAUGCACAAUCCGGGCAGCUCUCGCUCUUCUCGGAAGGCGAAGGGAGUUUGGCGGAGAAGACGGGGUUGGUGA
rnacentral:lncRNA from 1 species